GUGCUUGCUUUGGCAGCACGUAUACUAAAAUUGGAGCAAUUCAGGAAAGAUUCACAUGGCCCUGUGCAAGGAGGAUCAUAAAUUCAGUGUUUCAUAUUUCU
ensembl:snRNA U6 U6 spliceosomal RNA